CCUUGACCAGGUCAGCAUAAGCCCUCUGCACCCACCCCCCGAAGCUCUUAGGGAAGGGGGCGUGGCAGGGGGCAGGGCGUUCUCUCCUCACCGCUUUCUCUCCGAACGUCUUCUGGAUUUCUGAUGGGGGCGCUGCUGAGCGCGGGUGGGAGCCUUUCCCCACUGUGCUGCACUGCCAAGCCGCCCCACCGGGCAAGUAAGACAGGAAGAACGGGGAAGGAGGAGCUCUCGGAUCACAUCCUACCUUACCCCAACUAAAAAGCUAUCUUUCCCAACUUGUUUGGGGCUCAGGGCAAAAUUGGGACAGUCAGGGCGUAUCUGAGAUGCUCUGAGGCAUAACUUCAAGGCCACUUCGCUGCCAGCCUGAUGAACCAAGAUGACAGAGACCUCUGCCUCUGCCUCCACCCCAAAUCAACUGAGGAAUCCUGCCUGCACAGGGAAGGGGAGGGCUGGAGCACACUUCAGCACCGUGGACAACGACUCCCCUUUGGGAUCCAAUCAGCGGCUCCAGUCACAAGAUAAGCCCCUCUUUACAAAUGAGAGGUCCUGGUAGUCUUUUUUCCUACUUCUCAAGUCACGUGUGGAGCUAUCUACAGCGAGGAUGCUGAUGCUCGAUUA